AGUGGGGAAUAUUGGACAAUGGGCGCAAGCCUGAUCCAGCCAUGCCGCGUGUGUGAAGAAGGCCUUUUGGUUGUAAAGCACUUUAAGCGAGGAGGAGGCUACCUGGAUUAAUACUCUAGGAUAGUGGACGUUACUCGCAGAAUAAGCACCGGCUAACUCUGUGCCAGCAGCCGCGGUAAUACAGAGGGUGCGAGCGUUAAUCGGAUUUACUGGGCGUAAAGCGUGCGUAGGCGGCUUUUUAAGUCGGAUGUGAAAUCCCUGAGCUUAACUUAGGAAUUGCAUUCGAUACUGGGAAGCUAGAGUAUGGGAGAGGAUGGUAGAAUUCCAGGUGUAGCGGUGAAAUGCGUAGAGAUCUGGAGGAAUACCGAUGGCGAAGGCAGCCAUCUGGCCUAAUACUGACGCUGAGGUACGAAAGCAUGGGGAGCAAA
rnacentral:rRNA from 1 species